AAGUUUAGAAUGGUUUCCCUAAACUCUCGAUCACGUCGGGAAUCUAGUCUUUGGAUGUCACCGAGCACCGUCAUUGUCGCUCAUGCUUUUUCUCAGAGAGUUGAUAUGUCCAGUGCACAUGAUCUUUGGUUAUUUCAGCCCUGCCAUUUUUACAAUGGCUGCAGUAUGAUUUUGCUUCAAUGUACAUGAGAGCCCGACUGUUGCCGUGAAGAUUUGCAUUGUCAAGGUUUGACUUUAAAAAACGCAGCUCUCCUACUUUAUUCCCAACUUCAGGACUCGCCUGCAUGCAGUAUUUAGGUUUUGUUGCACACCCAGAGGAGUGUUAGAGAACGGUACAUUUGUAGUUAUUCUUAAAUUUGAGGAUGCACUUAAUUACACUGUUUUCAAUGAAACAUGGGAUUCUGAUGCUUUCGACAUCAGUGGCUUUUAUCGUGGUCAGCUGAUAGGCUUUAGAACUACCACUGGUUAAUUAAGUAUCCUGUACAAUAUAUUUGCUGCGCGUUCAAGGACCAUCUUCCAUGAGCAUAUCAUCAGAUCAACUGCUUCGACCUGUGGAUAUCCUUCAUUGGCAGUGAAUAAAACAUGCUUGCAAAUGCUCAGGUCAUUAUAGUAAUUAGCCAAAGGAUUAAGAUAUUAAUCACCAGGUGUUGACAUAAUGUGCUUUGUACACAUAACAAAGGAUGCUUGUUCAGAGAUGACAGCAAUUAACAUUGAAACUGUUAUUGAUGAGGUAGUAUAUCGCGCAAAUAUUGACAUGGUAAUUGAUGACUUAGUUUUGGUAUUGAUUACCAAUAGGCUAUUGAGAGCACUCGCAUGGAAGCUACAAGGAAGAAUGUAGGUUUUCCAUGUAGCCUAGUAAUUCAGGAAUCAUUGUGUUUCAAACUAUGCAUCAACCAGUCAAAGCAAUGUUGUCUGGAACUGGGAUAAACGUGGAUAUAUGUCAAUUCCUCAACAACGAACUUGGCCACAGAGUUCUUAAAAUGUCAAGCAGAUGUUUACUUCAUACAUUGCUACGAAGCAAGUAAGAGACUCUGUUAUUGACACUACCAUGAACUAUUCAGCAAGGACGCUUGAGUGGACAGGAGAAUAAAUAUUGUCGGGUAUGAAAGCAGUACAGUCUUGGUGUAGAUAAUUUGGAAUGAUUUUGGAAAGCCUUUUUCUCCUUGAAUUAUUUGUGUUCCAAAGGAAAGUGUUAUUGUUGUCUGAGUCUUCUUUUUUCCUUGAUUUCUUUUCACUUUAUUUAGCAGGACCAUUCUAAUUGAGACUACUGUAGGAUCUAUAUUUGGAAAAAGGUUAUUUUUUUGUUUUUCAACAAUUACCAAGAAAAAGCGUUAUACCAUUUCCUACAUCUGGUCUAGCAUGAAUUCAUUUCUCCUGUUGGCUACAUGUCAUGUACGUGUAGGGUUAUGAUGAUGAUGCCUUAUUGGGACCCCACAUACUUGGUAAUUGAAGUGACAACCUAUGAAUACAAUUAUUGCAUCACAGCGUAAAAUGCAAUCUUAAUUACUUCUGGACUCAUCAUGGAUAUUAGACUAUUUGACAUCCCUACUGGAUUGGUUGGCUAAAACUAAUUCAAGAUUCUAAGAAUCCAUGAAUUUCAUCAUCUCUACAUGCUACAGUGUAAAUGCUGAAUAGCGGGUUUAAAACACCAGACACUUUCAGUCUAUUUUGGAAACAUAUCGAAGGAAGUCAAGAUCAAAGUUCUCACUCUUUAUCAGAUGUAGGAACUGAGUAUCAGGGUUCAAGGAUGUCAGUGUCGCUUGUAUUCCAUUUUUGACGCUGGUGACUUCAUUCAAUCCAUUGCGUACUGGAGAAGGGUGUGUCCUGUUGGAUGUCUAUUGGGAUUUGCAGUCUCGUGAGUGAAUGGGUUAAUGUGUAAAGAGGUUGGGUCUGUAUGAACAAUAAUAAAAUUUGAUCAGAGACAUCAUUUGACCACCUUGGCAUCACCAUUGCCAAUAAGUUUGUGGAUCCAAGCGAGAUCAUUGUGAUUCAUGUGCAAGGAAUAGGGUGUGGAGUGCAUUAUGCUCGUUUUUUCAUGGAACGCUGAUAUCGACUUUACUGGCCACUUUGAUAGAGUUAAGUGAGGCUGUCAGUUAUAUGUUGGCAGUGGAUAAAGUGGUGCGGAUCAUAAUAGAAAUUGUCGUGGAGAACCUACACACACAUAAACUUUUGAUCUAUGAGAUGAUGAAGCCUUCUCAAAUGUGAAACUUUAAACGCUUGAAUUAGAUAAAUACUAAAAUUGAAGCAAGUUAAGUACUGGAUAUUAUAGUGGAAUAUAUACACACUCUUCAAGUGCUGAAAACAGCUAUGGGCAUGUGUUGAGGAAUAUGCAGGGUUGUUGAAGCUUUCUGUUGGAAUUGGAGACCUUUAUUAACAUGUUUUGACUAUCAAAAGACUUUAAAGGAUACAAAGAUGGCUCAACGAUCAAUGUUGAAAAAGAUUGGUGAGAUGGAGAGACAGAGGUGUAUGUCAUGGAGUUCUCCAGGUUCUGUGGCGUCACUUGCAGCAUUGAGGGGGAAAAGACUCCGCAAGUAUUCUGAGACGGAUGCAUCCACGGAGAGACUCUCUAGCUCUAUCAGAUCGGAAAGUGGGUCUAGUCAACUCUAUACCAAGGUAACUAGUUAACUCGCCCCCCUAAAAAAAGAAGUAUCAUGCUCAAGAAGUCAAGAUGUAUACAUCUAUAGGCACAAUAUUCCAAUGUCCUGGGUCCAACCGCAGUACUCGCAUCCUUUGGCAAGGCAUGAAUCUACAUUUGCCGCUCUCCACCCAGGUAUACCAAAUUGGUACCCGGUAGAAAGAAAAUCCUUGAAUUCUCGAGCACCUGAUAAGAGUAGCUGUGGUAAAGCCGGGGUAUUAGUAUACAAUGCUAAUAAACACAUUAUUAAGUGCUAUAUAAAUGUUGCAUAUUAUUUUGAUUUGUUUUUUUUUUACUUGAUUUGGAGAAGAGCUAGACUUGUUGGGCUGUCUUAAAUGAUGCUCAUCAAUCUUCACACUCUCUUCUCUCAAACUCUUGAGAAAUAACUGCAAGAAAUAACUUUUUGGGCUGGAAAUAGGAUUAUCAUAUCACUUCAUGCUCUAAAUUCUAACAUCUACCUUCCACCUGCAUUGGAUCAAAAUAUUUUCAUUCAUUUCUUGACAGUGGAAUCAUAAAAGCAGACAAAAUCAUGCAAAACGUCAUGUCAACAGGGAUAUUUUUAGCGUGCAAAUAGUGGAUACAUGAUUUUCUACUGCAUACAGCUAGUUAGGAUGCAAGGCAAGCGAGAAAAACAAGUUAAACCAUGGAUUUCCCCAUAUGAUUCAUAGAUGGGAGUCUUUCCUCUUUGGGGGGUGGAUAGAACAUUGUGGAAAUAAACCUCUGUGGUGUGAAUCUUCUAGGUAUUAAAGGCAGCUACGAAAGAAAGUGAUACUGAGGAAGAAAGAAAUAUAUUUAGAGAGACAGGCAGAAAAAUGAAAAGCAAGUGAAGGAAGGGAGUUAAUGAAAGUAACGCUAGAGUGAAAGAGAGGAGAGAAAUAAAUACGAAAAAUAUAAAAGGAGAGAAGGGGAAUAAAUUCUAAAGAGAAAUAUUGAUGAAAAAGAACAGAUUGGGAGUGUGUGAAAGAGAGAG